UCUUAUCCAGAGCGGUGGAGGGACUGGCCCGAUGAAACCCGGCAACCCGUCACGGGGCUGAAGCCGGCAACGGCGGCCGCCCGUCAGCGUGACGAAGGUGCCAACUCCUGCGGAACCCCCGGGGUUCCGAGAGAUAAGA
rnacentral:ncRNA from 1 species